CAAUAGCGUAUAUUAAAGUUGUUGCAGUUAAAAAGCUCGUAGUUGAAUUUUUGCUUGCCGCCGAUGUCGGAACUUCCGUACGUUCGGCGGCGUGCAUCCUUGGGUGGAACCUGUGUGGCAUUAGGUUGUCGUGCAGGGGAUGCUCAUCGUUUACUGUGAAAAAAUUAGAGUGUUCAAAGCAGGCUUAUGCCGUUGAAUAUAUUAGCAUGGAAUAAUAAGAUAGGACUUUGGUACUAUUUUGUUGGUUUGCGCACCAAAGUAAUGAUUAAUAGGGACAGUUGGGGGUAUUCGUAUUCCGUUGUCAGAGGUGAAAUUCUUGGAUUUACGGAAGACGAACUACUGCGAAAGCAUUUACCAAGGAUGUUUUCAUUAA
rnacentral:rRNA from 1 species